rnacentral:lncRNA from 1 species
UUCCAAUCAAGAGAGAGCUCUCUGAUUCUGAAGUCAAUCUCGGGGUCAGACCGAGUGUUCACAUAGGAGUCGGGAUAAUUGAGGUCUCUUCCAGGGACGGGGAUGUGCUUCAUUUCUACAUAAUUGGCCGUUGGAUGUGUCCAGUCUGAACUAAAAGGGGUCUUUGACCCAGGGAGUUCUGUUGGCUCCUGAUGACGAGGAACAGGAAGACACAUGUGGUAUUCUCAGAACAUUACAGAAUUCAUCGAGGUUGAUCUGGGGUUAGGGUAAGGGUUUGUGAGGGGAAGGAAAAGAAGAAGGAAGUGGGAUAG